rnacentral:rRNA from 1 species
CGGCGUGCUUAACACNUGCAAGUCGAACGGUGAAGCCCUUCUCGGUGGAUCAGUGGCGAGCGGGUGAGUAACACGUGGGAAAUCUGCCCUGCACUCUGGGACAAGCCUUGGAAACGAGGUCUAAUACCGGAUAUGACCUUCCUCCGCAUGGGGGUGGGUGUAAAGCUCCGGCGGUGCAGGAUGAUCCCGCGGCCUAUCAGCUUGUUGGUGGGGUAAUGGCCUACCAUGGCGACGACGGGUAGCCGGCCUGAGAAGGCGACCGGCCACACUGGGACUGAGACACGGCCCAGACUCCUACGGGAGGCAGCAGUGGGGAAUAUUGCACAAUGGGCAAAAGCCUGAUGCACCGACGCCGCGUGAGGGAUGACGGCCUUCGGGUUGUAAACCUCUUUCAGCAGGGAAGAAGCGCAAGUGACGGUACCUGCAGAAGAAGCACCGGCUAACUACGUGCCAGCAGCCGCGGUAAUACGUAGGGUGCCAGCGUUGUCUGGAAUUAUUGGGCGUAAAGAGCUCGUAGGCGGCCUGUCGCGUCGGAUGUGAAAGCCCGGGGCUUAACCCCGGGUCUGCAUUCGAUACGGGCAGGCUAGAGUGUGGUAGGGGAGAUCGGAAUUCCUGGUGUAGCGGUGAAAUGUGCAGAUAUCAGGAGGAACACCGGUGGCGAAGGCGGAUCUCUGGGCCAUUACUGACGAUGAGGAGCGAAAGCGUGGGGAGCGAACAGGAUUAGAUACCCUGGUAGUUCACGCCGUAAACGUUGGGAACUAGGUGUUGGCGACAUUCCACGUCGUCGGUGCCGCAGCUAACGCAUUAAGUUCCCCGC